UACGGAAGGCAGCAGUGGGGAAUAUUGCACAAUGGGCGCAAGCCUGAUGCAGCCAUGCCGCGUGUAUGAAGAAGGCCUUCGGGUUGUAAAGUACUUUCAGCGGGGAGGAAGGCGAUGUGGUUAAUAACCGCGUCGAUUGACGUUACCCGCAGAAGAAGCACCGGCUAACUCCGUGCCAGCAGCCGCGGUAAUACGGAGGGUGCAAGCGUUAAUCGGAAUUACUGGGCGUAAAGCGCACGCAGGCGGUCUGUUAAGUCAGAUGUGAAAUCCCCGGGCUUAACCUGGGAACUGCAUUUUGAACUGGCAGGCUUGAGUCUCGUAGAGGGGGUGAAUUCCAGGUGUAGCGGUGAAAUGCGUAGAGAUCUGGAGGGAAUACCGGUGGCGAAGGCGGCCCCUGGGACGAAGACUGACGCUCAGGGUGCGAAAGCGUGGGGAGCGAAACAGGGAUUAGGAUACC
rnacentral:rRNA from 1 species